AUUGAACGCUGGCGGCAGGCCUAACACAUGCAAGUCGAGCGAGCGGCGGACGGGUGAGUAAUGUAUGGGGACUGCCCGAUAGAGGGGGAUAACUACUGGAAACGGUGGCUAAUACCGCAUACUAUCGGAUAACCCAUAGGGGUUUAGCUAGUAGGUGGGGUAAAGGCGCACCAAGGCCACGAUGCAUAGCCGACCUGAGAGGAUGAGCAGCCACACGGGGACAGAGACACGGCCCAGACUCCUACGGAGGCAGCAGUGGGGAAUAUUGGACGAUGGGAGCAAGCCUGAUGCAGCCAUGCCGCGUGGAUGAAGAAGGCCUUAGGGUUGUAAAGUACUUUCAGCGGGGAGGCGUUACCCGCAGAAGAAGCACCGGCUAACUCCGUGCCAGCCGCCGCGGUAAUUC
rnacentral:rRNA from 1 species